rnacentral:rRNA from 1 species
CAAUAGCGUAUACUAAAGUUGUUGCAGUUAAAAGCUCGUAGUUGAAUUUCUGGAUGUGAAAGGUGGUCCGUUCCUCACGGAAUGCGUACUUUCCAUUUAUGUCCAUCCUCGGAGUUAGUGUGUAUUACUUUAAUCGGUCGUGCAUACAACCUCCGUCAUUUACUGUGAGCAAAAUAGAGUGUUCAAAGCAGGCUUAUGCCGUUGAAUAUAUUAGCAUGGAAUAAUAAGAUAUGACUUUGGUCUAUUUUGUUGGUUUGCACUCCAAAGUAAUGAUUAAUAGGGAUAGUUGGGGGUGAUUCUGUAUUCAAUUUGAUUCGUAGAGGGUGAAAAUUUCUUGGAUUUAUGGAAGACGAACUACUGCGAAAGCAUUUACCAAGGAUGUUUUCAUUAAUCAAGAACGAAAGUUAGGGGAUCGA